UACAGAGGGGGCGAGCGUUGUUCGGAAUUACUGGGCGUAAAGGGCGCGUAGGCGGCCUUCUAAGUCGAACGUGAAAUCCCCGGGCUCAACCUGGGAACUGCAUUUGUGACUGCAUCGCUGGAGUGCGGCAGAGGGGGAUGGAAUUCCGCGUGUAGCAGUGAAAUGCGUAGAUAUGCGGAGGAACACCGAUGGCGAAGGCAAUCCCCUGGGCCUGCACUGACGCUCAUGCACGAAAGCGUGGGGAGCAAACAGG
rnacentral:rRNA from 1 species